CGAAAUCAACACCAUCUGUGCAAACGAUGAGAACGUGUGUCUUCAACACUUAACCAAAUCAACGAAAAUCUUAACGGAACACUAUAUAAUCUCGGUGUCUCGCAGCAGAAUCUUCACUUUCAAUUCUAUUCUUCUGAGUAUAGUUGUGCCUAAAAUCCAAACAAAAUGAAGCUCAUUCUGGUGCUCGCGAUGCUGAUGGUCGUUGCCUACGCUGCUGCCGAUGAAUCUCUGGAAGAGCAACUGCUAGCAAUUCAGAAGUCCAUCGACAUUAACCCGGAACUGGCCAACGGUUGGCUGAGCAAAGCUUUCAAAUGGGUGAAAAACAAUGCUGGAACUAUCGGAUCGAUUGCUGGUGCAGUUUUAGGUUAACCAGCUUUCUUGGGAAUACUUGGAUUGGAGAUGGCUAAUCGUCAUUUAUUUGAAUGCUGCACACAGAACAUUCCUAAAAAAUCUGUUUGUCACCGCAAAUAAAUAACUACCGGAGAGAAAA